CUUCAGUGAAGAUGAGAUGACGAGUCUGAAAGGGAAUAUCCUUGUGCAUGUGCCCUGUUUUCGUGUUGUGCCCUACAGCGUGAAUUUGGGGACCUUGGGUCACAAUUUGAUUGACUUAGAGGCAUUUGUCUGAGAAGG
ensembl:snoRNA SNORD15 Small nucleolar RNA SNORD15